CUGGCGGCGUGCUUAACACAUGCAAGUCGAACGAAGCAUUUGCGACAGAUUUCUUCGGAUUGAAGUUGCUUAUGACUGAGUGGCGGACGGGUGAGUAACGCGUGGGUAACCUGCCUCACACAGGGGGAUAGCAGUUGGAAACGGCUGCUAAUACCGCAUAAGCGCACGGUAUCGCAUGAUACAGUGUGAAAAACUCCGGUGGUAUAAGAUGGACCCGCGUCUGAUUAGCCAGUUGGCAGGGUAACGGCCUACCAAAGCGACGAUCAGUAGCCGGCCUGAGAGGGUGAACGGCCACAUUGGGACUGAGACACGGCCCAAACUCCUACGGGAGGCAGCAGUGGGGAAUAUUGCACAAUGGGGGAAACCCUGAUGCAGCGACGCCGCGUGAGUGAUGAAGUAUUUCGGUAUGUAAAACUCUAUCAGCAGGGAAGAUAAUGACGGUACCUGACUAAGAAGCACCGGCUAAAUACGUG
rnacentral:rRNA from 1 species